rnacentral:rRNA from 1 species
UCCUGGCUCAGGAUGAACGCUGGCGGCGUGCUUAAUACAUGCAAGUCGAACGAAGCAUGCGCGACGGAACCUCCGGGGGGAAGAUGCGCAUGACUGAGUGGCGGACGGGUGAGUAACGCGUGGGUAACCUGCCUUAUACAGGGGGAUAACACCUGGAAACAGGUGCUAAUACCGCAUAAGCGCACAGGGCCGCAUGGCCCGGUGUGAAAAGCUCCGGCGGUAUAAGAUGGACCCGCGUCUGAUUAGCUAGUUGGUGCGGCAGCGGCGCACCAAGGCGACGAUCAGUAGCCGGCCUGAGAGGGUGGACGGCCACAUUGGGACUGAGACACGGCCCAGACUCCUACGGGAGGCAGCAGUAGGGAAUAUUGCACAAUGGGGGAAACCCUGAUGCAGCCGACGCCGCGUGAAGGAUGAAGUAUCUCGGUAUGUAAACUUCUAUCAGCAGGGAAGAAGAAAGUGACGGUACCUGACUAAGAAGCCCCGGCUAACUACGUGCCAGCAGCUGC